GAAAGCUUAUGAUUAUAAUGGAAGCCAUACUGAGAUGGGUAAUUCAUUUCAAUCGGGAAUCUGCUUCAAAAUUUUGUGCUUGGCUCAUUUUGUGAAGCUCUGCCAUGGUCACCAAACGGGUGGCAAGAAAUCAGCAAGAAUAGCUCAAGCACGAAGUAGACAAAGGAAGCUUGCGGUUGAACCUCCACAUUCUAAUCAUAAGCUUUCAGCAAAAGAUUAGCAGUAAGCAUUAAGGUUCCAAUUGAGAUCAUUCCCAGGAAAGAAGGAGAUGUUCAGGGUAGUUGGUGAAGGGCGAAUUGGGUAGAACAAGACCCAUAAAAUUUCUGUAUUACACCUUAAAACCAAGAAAACACCUAGCCUGAAGGAAAUAUAAGCCAUCCAACAGUCAACUAUAUCCCAGAUUCUGUAGUUCAAUUUUGAAUUCUCUCCUAAUCUAAUCAAACUAAAGCUCAAAUAGAUAGCAGCCACCAGAUUCCAUGGCAACAAGACU
rnacentral:misc_RNA from 1 species